rnacentral:lncRNA from 1 species
GGAGUAAUGGGCAGGCCAGCUUCCGAGCUACCCACGAAGGGCACGCAUUCCAUGCCAGUCCGAACAGGAGUAUUUGCCUCCUUAUCAGUGCUCAUCUCCUCUAUGAUCUGGCAUUCGAGUGAGGUCUUGUUGUCAGGUUUGAGGACUUUAGGCAUUGAGACAACAACCCUCAGAUCGCGUUCAUCAUCUGACACAAAAACUGAAUCUGCUGGGUUUCCUUCUUGAUCAGUGCCAGUGCAGUUCGUUGCUUCAUUAGACAGAUUUGUAG